AGUGAACGCUGGCGGCAGGCCUAACACAUGCAAGUCGAGCGGCAGCGCGUCCGACCACCCUCGGGUGGUCGGAUGGCGGCGAGCGGCGGACGGGUGAGGAAUGCAUCGGAAUCUGCCUCGUUGUGGGGGAUAACGUAGGGAAACUUACGCUAAUACCGCAUACGACCUACGGGUGAAAGUGGGGGACCUUCGGGCCUCACGCGAUGAGAUGAGCCGAUGCCGGAUUAGCUAGUUGGCGGGGUAAAGGCCUACCAAGCCUGCGAUCUGUAGCUGGUCUGAGAGGACGACCAGCCACACUGGGACUGAGACACGGCCCAGACUCCUACGGGAGGCAGCAGUUAAGAAUCUUGCGCAAUGGGCGCAAGCCUGACGCAGCGACGCCGCGUGCGCGAUGAAGG
rnacentral:rRNA from 1 species